AUUGAACGCUGGCGGCAGGCCUAACACAUGCAAGUCGAACGAGUGGCGGACGGGUGAGUAAGGUCUGGGAAACUGCCUGAUGGAGGGGGAUAACUACUGGAAACGGUAGCUACUACCGCAUAACACCGGAUGUGCACAGAUGGGAUGAGCUAGUAGGUGGGGUAAAGGCUCACCUAGGCGACGAUUCCUAGCUGGUCUGAGAGGAUGAAAAGCCACACGGGAACUGAGACACGGGCCAGCCUCCUACGGGAGGCAGCAGUGGGGAAUAUUGCACAAUGGGCGCAAGCCUGAUGCAGCAAUGCCGCGUGUAUUAAGAAGGCCUUCGGGUUGUAAAGUACUUUCAGCGGGGAGGCGUUACCCGCAGAAGAAGCACCGGCUAACUCCGUGCCAGCAGCCGCGGUAAUUC
rnacentral:rRNA from 1 species